UAGAAACUUUUAAUUUUGUAUGUAUAAAAAUAAUUCUACAUGUGCCAAUCUCUUUUUGAGUCCUUAUUAACAUGUUUUCUUUGUUUUUUGUUUUGGCCACAAAUAUGAUUAUGAGCACUUUUCACAAAUAUUGUGGAACAGCCUUGGUGUCCAACAGCAGAAAAAUAGAUAAAGAAGAUGAGGCUUAUGCUCACAAUGGAGGGUGUUACUAACAGACCAGAAAUGUCACUUCAUCAGCUCUGAAGCCUUUAACAGAUCAGGAGAAAAAAUAAAAAUGCAGUGCAAGUA